AGUGAACGCUGGCGGUAGGCCUAACACAUGCAAGUCGAACGGCAGCACAGUAAGAGCUUGCUCUUACGGGUGGCGAGUGGCGGACGGGUGAGGAAUACAUCGGAAUCUACUUUUUCGUGGGGGAUAACGUAGGGAAACUUACGCUAAUACCGCAUACGACCUACGGGUGAAAGCAGGGGAUCUUCGGACCUUGCGCGAUUGAAUGAGCCGAUGUCGGAUUAGCUAGUUGGCGGGGUAAAGGCCCACCAAGGCGACGAUCCGUAGCUGGUCUGAGAGGAUGGUCAGCCACACUGGAACUGAGACACGGUCCAGACUCCUACGGGAGGCAGCAGUGGGGAAUAUUGGACAAUGGGCGCAAGCCUGAUCCAGCCAUACCGCGUGGGUGAAGAAGGCCUUCGGGUUGUAAAGCCCUUUUGUUGGGAAAGAAAGGCAGCAGGUUAAUACCCCGCUGUUCUGACGGUACCCAAAGAAUAAGCACCGACUAACUUCGUG
rnacentral:rRNA from 1 species